CAAUAGCGUAUAUUAAAGUUGUUGCAGUUAGAACGCUCGUAGUCGGAUUUCGGGGCGGGCCGACCGGUCUGCCGAUGGGUAUGCACUGGUCGGCGCGUCCUUCCUUCCGGAGACCGUUCCUACUCUUAACUGAGCGGGGGCGGGAGACGGAUCGUUUACUUUGAAAAAAUCAGAGUGUUUCAAGCAGGCAGCUCGCUCUUGCAUGGAUUAGCAUGGGAUAAUGAAAUAGGACUUUGGUGCUAUUUUGUUGGUUUCGAACACCGAAGUAAUGAUUAAAAGGGACAGUCAGGGGCACUCGUAUUCCGCCGAGAGAGGUGAAAUUCUCAGACCAGCGGAAGACGAACUACUGCGAAANCANNNGCCAGGGAUGUUUUCACNGA
rnacentral:rRNA from 1 species